GCCCCGCUCUGUCACCGCGCCGCCCGGCCCCGCCGGAGGAGGAGGACGAGAAGGAGCGAGCGGAGGAGCUGCCUGCGGGCGCAGCGGGCUCCGACCCACCGGAGCGCCUCGGUCACGGGCUCGGCGGCGGCCGGGGAGGGGCCGAAGCCCCUCGGCAAUCUCCGGAGGUGCCGAAGCCGCGCGACCCCCGCUCGGCAACCUUCGGCAACGGCGGAGGGCGGGGCGACGGGAGAGGAGGGGCGGGGCCGCGGCGGGGCACGGGGCGCCCAGCGCCGGGUUGAAAAUGGCCGCCUGGCUCCGGCCCCGAAUGAUUACAAAUCCCCACGGAGUGGCAGGCACCCAGAGGACAAUUACACGCAGCUUCAGUCUGCUCGCCCACCGAGGAAAAACAUCUGAUGAAGGGGUUCCUUGAAGGAUGUGUGCUGGGGCUCCCGCUGGAAUUGGGUGCCACCAGGAUGCCCAAGAGGUCCAUGAAGCACAGAGCAUGGCACAGAGACAGUGACUCACACAAGCUCUAAGGCACAGGCAUGAAAUGAGGCACAAACACGGCUAUUAGUCUCUGACCCAAAGGCAUAGAAAUCAUUAGGAGACUGUUCAAAGCUAAUCUCUCCUCCCCACCACCACAACUGAGAAAAGUUUCUUGCUGCUGCCAUCAUCUGCUCAUCACGACUCAUCCUGUGUGGCUCUCUCUCACCCUUGCACCCUCCUGCAGCUAUGCCCCUCUCCUUUCUGCUGGAAUCUGCCUCUCUGCCGAGCAGGUCUGGAACAUCUAACAGCUCACCCAACCCUCCUCAUUUCUUCUGUUUCCCUCCUGCUGAGGGAGCUGAGCUCUCAGUGCCAAACAGCCACAGGUAACGACGUGCUUCCAAGGUGGAGCGCCAGCCUGCACUUUGCUCCUGGUUAUGAAGGAAGCAGCGGUAGUGCUUUCCCUAUCAACAGGCACAAGUAAACGUUUCUCCUUGCUUAUCUCCAGGCUGGCUCUUUGAUGCAAAAUUUUAUUAGCACAAGUUGCCUUUUCUUGUCACUGAUCUGUAUGUAACGUAAGC
rnacentral:lncRNA from 1 species